rnacentral:rRNA from 1 species
UACGUAGGGUGCGAGCGUUGUCCGGAAUUAUUGGGCGUAAAGAGCUCGUAGGCGGUGUGUCACGUCGGCCGUGAAAACCCGCGGCUCAACUGCGGGCCUGCAGCCGAUACGGGCAGGCUAGAGUUCGGUAGGGGAGACUGGAAUUCCUGGUGUAACGGUGAAAUGUGUUGAUAUCAGGAGGAACACCCAUGGCGAAGGCAGCAAACUGGGCAUCAACUGACGCUGAGGCGCGAAAGCGUGGGUAGCAAACAGG